rnacentral:misc_RNA from 1 species
GAUGAAGAACGCAGCGAAAUGCGAUACGUAAUGUGAAUUGCAGAAUUCAGUGAAUCAUCGAAUCUUUGAACGCAUAUUGCGCUCUCUGGUAUUCCGGAGAGCAUGCUUGUUUGAGUAUCAGUAAACACCUCAACUCCCUUUUCUUUUUUGAAAUGGGAGCUGGACUUGAGUGAUCCCAACACUUUUCUCACUGGAAAGUGGCGGGUCACUUGAAAUGCAGGUGCAGCUGGACUUUUCUCUGAGCUAUAAGCAUAUCUAUUUAGUCUGCCUAAAAAACAGAUUAUUACCUUUGCUGCAGCUAACAUAAAGGAGAUGAGUUCUUGUGCUGACUGAUGCAGUAUUCACAGAGACAGCUUUGCGGCUGACUUUGUAAACUCGAUCUCAAAUCAAGUAAGACUACCCGCUGAACUUAAGCAUAUCAAUAAGCGGAGGA